CAGUAGCCGCGGGAAUACGGAGGGGGCUAGCGUUGUUCGGAAUUACUGGGCGUAAAGCGCACGUAGGCGGCUUCGUAAGUUAGAGGUGAAAGCCCGGGGCUCAACCCCGGAAUUGCCUUUAAGACUGCAGAGCUAGCAGGUGAGAGAGGUGAGUGGAAUUCCGAGUGUAGAGGUGAAAUUCGUAGAUAUUCGGCAGAACACCAGUGGCGAAGGCGGCUCACUGGCUCAUACUGGACGCUGAGGUGCGAAAGCGUGGGGAGCAAACAGGAUUAGAUACCCCCGUAGUCCCUGUCUCUUAUAU
rnacentral:rRNA from 1 species